rnacentral:rRNA from 1 species
AUUGAACGCUGGCGGCAGGCCUAACACAUGCAAGUCGAGCGGAGCGGCGGACGGGUGAGUAAUGCCUAGGAAUCUGCCUGGUAGUGGGGGAUAACGUCAGGAAACGGGCGCUAAUACAGCAUACUAUAAGAUGGGCCUAGGUCGGAGUAGCUAGUUGGUGGGGUAAAGGCCUACCAAGCUGACGAUCCGUAACUGGUCUGAGAGGAUGAUCAGUAACACUGGAACUGAGACACGGUCCAGACUCCUACGGGAGGCAGCAGUGGGGAAUAUGUGACAAUGGGCGAAAGCCGGAUCCAGCCAGGCCGCGUGUGUGAAUAAGGUCUUCGGAUUGUAAAGCACUUUAAGUUGGGAGGCGUUACCAACAGAAUAAGCACCGGCUAACUUCGUGCCAGCAGCCGCGGUAAUAC